rnacentral:lncRNA from 1 species
AGAGUUAAGGAGAGAGAAGCAAUAAAAAUCCAAGAGAGAAAGCGAAGGAGUGAGAAAGAGAGAGAGAGAGAGAGAGAGAGCAGGGAGGAGAGGAGAAGGGGGAGAGAGAGCACAAGUGAGUUAGAGUAAGGGAGAGGGUUGUCGGUCAAUAGGAAGUGAGUAAGGGAAGAAUUGUCGGUCGAUUGGCCAAUGAAUGAGGGAAAGGGCUGUCGGCAGUAAGGGUGAGUGAGGAAAGUGGCUGUCGGUAGUAAGGAGAGUGAGUGAGGGAUGGAGGAAGGGGCUGGUAUAGGGAGAACAAUGUGAUUUUAGAA